rnacentral:rRNA from 1 species
UACGUAGGGCGCAAGCGUUAUCCGGAAUUAUUGGGCGUAAAGAGCUCGUAGGCGGUUUGUCGCGUCUGCCGUGAAAGUCCGGGGCUCAACUCCGGAUCUGCGGUGGGUACGGGUAGACUAGAGUGAUGUAGGGGAGACUGGAAUUCCUGGUGUAGCGGUGAAAUGCGCAGAUAUCAGGAAGAACACCCGUGGCUAAGGCGGCUCUCUAGUACGGUACUGACGCUGAGACGCGAAAGCGUGGGGAGCGAACAGG